CCGAUGAUAGCUCAGUUGGUAGAGCAUCUGACUGUAAUGUGAACACUGAUAUCAGGAGGCCCCCGGAUCGACCCCGGGUCGUCGGA
rfam:Rhizoclosmatium globosum strain JEL800 BCR33scaffold_14, whole genome shotgun sequence.